GAACUGCUUGCUAAGCCUCUGCCCGCCCGCCCUGCUUUACUCCAGAGCAGUACUUUCAACCAAACGUUCCUCCCAACGAGAAGCUGCAGCCUGUCAGCAUGGCUCAAGAGUUUGUGAAUUGCAAGAUCCAGUCUGGGAAGGUGGUCGUGUUCAUCAAGCCCACCUGCCCCUACUGCAGAAAGACCCAAGAAGUCCUCAGUCAACUGCCUUUCAAACAAGGUCUUCUAGAAUUUGUGGACAUCACAGCCACUAGCAACACCGAUGCGAUUCAAGAUUAUUUACAACAGCUCACGGGAGCGAGAACAGUUCCUCGGGUCUUCAUAGGUAAAGACUGCAUAGGUGGGUGCAGUGAUCUGAUCUCCAUGCUACAGAGUGGGGAGCUGAUGGCCCGGCUGAAGCAGAUCGGAGCUCUGCAGUUAUGAAAGGGGUGGCAGGUGAGGCUGGGCCACUGAGGGACAACGACUUUCUACUGCCAUUCUCCGUUAUGCUGCAGAGCCUGUUCUGACACAGUCAUCCAGCCAUGCUGAUGGCCAGUGCCCCUGGGAGUUGAUGCACAUCACAGAGGAUGUCAGUAUUCCUGGUGACUGGGAUUUUCAAUGUGCCAACAUGUCUCUACCUCUAAGCCCAUGUUUCCCAAUCCAGUUGAUCUAAAUCUCCAAUGAAUCUGUUGCUGGUUUUCUGCUACUGAUCAUCAGCUGAAGUCAUUUUGCAGAAGUCGACUUUCUAAAGGAUUAUUGAAUCGAUGGAUAUUGUGAAUUUGUUAUGAGUCACACACAACCUUUCUCCCUCAUGUACGCACCCUUCCCACUUCUGCACUCACUGCCCCCAGCCAGCGUUCUCAACCUCAUCCUCCCGUAACCCACAGACGUCCACACAUGUAUGAAGAUGCUGUUCAAAAAAACCAAAUGAAGAACUUUAGCAUAGUUGGUCCUCACUGAAGCCAUAUUAACAUAGGCAGCAGAGCAGAUGGAGCAUUCAGCUCUGUCCAUAAAGGUGAUUAAUUGUCCAGAAAAUUACAAGCAGCUGGCUGUGUGUUGAUCUGAGUUAGAGUACCAGCAACAUCAAAUAUGAAAUACAAAAUUACAGAACUCUCCUUCCAAGAAUGUCUAUGAAAGAAAUUGUUUCUAAAACAUUGUCCUAAAUAAUUUCUUCCAUUCACACUUUGACAUUUUGCUUUGAUGUCUUGCUAUGACAUUUAAUUAUCAUGGAACUGUAGAUCCCUUCUCUGGUUGCCACUGAGAAGGGCUCAUUCCUAAUAAAGAUGUAUCUGCAGAUGAUUAA